rnacentral:rRNA from 1 species
AAGACUCUCGGCAACGGAUAUCUCGGCUCUUGCAUCGAUGAAGAACGUAGCGAAAUGCGAUACUUGGUGUGAAUUGCAGAAUCCCGUGAACCAUCGAGUCUUUGAACGCAAGUUGCGCCCGAAGUCUUUUAGACCGAGGGCACGUCUGCCUGGGCGUCA